rnacentral:rRNA from 1 species
UACGAAGGGGGCUAGCGUUGCUCGGAAUCACUGGGCGUAAAGGGUGCGUAGGCGGGUCUUUAAGUCAGGGGUGAAAUCCUGGAGCUCAACUCCAGAACUGCCUUUGAUACUGAGGAUCUUGAGUUCGGGAGAGGUGAGUGGAACUGCGAGUGUAGAGGUGAAAUUCGUAGAUAUUCGCAAGAACACCCGUGGCGAAGGCAGCACUCUGGGACGUGACUGACGCUGA